GGGGAGGUGCCAGAGUGGACGAAUGGGGCCGCCUGCUAAGCGGUUAUCUGUGUUUAAGCAUGGAUCGCAGGUUCGAAUCCUGUCCUCCCCG
rnacentral:tRNA from 1 species